AUUGAACGCUGGCGGCAGGCCUAACACAUGCAAGUCGAGCGAGCGGCGGACGGGUGAGUAAUGUCUGGGAAACUGCCUGAUGGAGGGGGAUAACUACUGGAAACGGUAGCUAAUACCGCAUACCAUCAGAUGUGCCCAGAUGGGAUUAGCUUGUAGGUUGGGUAAUGGCUCACCUAGGCGACGAUCCCUAGCUGGUCUGAGAGGAUGACCAGCCACACUGGAACUGAGACACGGUCCAGACUCCUACGGGAGGCAGCAGUGGGGAAUAUUGCACAAGGGGCGAAAGCCUGAUCCAGCCAUGCCGCGUGUGUGAAGAAGGUCUUCGGGUUGUAAAGCACUUUAAGUUGGGAGGCGUUACCAGCAGAAUAAGCACCGGCUAACUUCGUGCCAGCAGCCGCGGUAAUAC
rnacentral:rRNA from 1 species